AGGGGAAAUGUGCUGGUCAGCAGAACCUCACGAGACAGAGGCUGGCUUCCCGUUGACCUCUCCAGGAAGCAGGCACUGUCUGUCUCUCCCAGCCCUGACACUGCAGUAGCCUGAUAUGAGGCCAGGAGCUGGGGAGCCUCUGGUGAGCCAGCAGCUUCCAAGUGGCUGCAGGGUCACAGCAGGGGACAACUCCUUACUCCUCAGCCCCUUCCACUCCCCUCUCCAGUCCUGGAAACACAGGUACGGCAAGGCCAACAGAUCGGAAGAUGACUGCCAUUGAGAAGCGUAGUUAUUGAGCUGAUGGAUGCAAAGCAGUCACUUGACCCCUCCUUCGCACGUUUGUCCCCGUGGAGCUGGGAAUGGUGGCCUCCCAAGACUGGACCCAUGACUGAAACGGAGCCGGUGAGUCCCUUUAGAACAUCUCAUUACACACGCUUUUAAUGAUCCAAAGAUUGAGGGCAAAGCAAGGAUUUCUUUUUUUUUUCCCAUCUUUUAAGAGUUUUGCUUCGUACGAAAUCUAAAAGGUGAAAUAUUCUCAGCAGAAUUCAAGAGACCCAUGCAAAUCACUGAGUGAUUUCAGGAGACCCAGAAAAUUGCCCCCAAACCUGAGUCACUGAGAAGAGCUGCAGCUGCUAAUGAAGGUCUUUACAGCCCGCGUGGAGCAUCGUUAAGACCGGAAUUCUCCUCCACUAGAUGAGUUUUGUCAGGAAUAGGAGUGCUUUCCCCACCCAGCCUAACCAGUCUUUCCUCACCUAACCUAAUCAGGAAGGAACCCAGGCGCUCUCUCAGGCCAUUUCACACCCAUGUAUCACCUCCACGAGAGCAAGCACCCCGUGGGUGGGUGCCACGCAGCCCUCCUUUUAUCCCCUGCUUCUACACCAUGUCGGGCACAUAGUAGGAUCUGGGCAAAGCCUGAGUUGAAUUACAAUCUAAGGGUAGAGUGGGGAGAGCCACAGAGACCUGAAAUUUAUUCUUCAAGGAGUUUACUCUGCUCCUUAAAAAAUUCUUUUAAAUUAGAUUUUAGAUAUAAAAAGAUCAAUCUGCUGCUUUAUUUUAUUACUCUUCUGUUAUAUUAAACUGUAACCCUUGGUGGCUUAGGAGCGUAACAAGUGAAGUCUAUAAAACAAAAUAGCAGGUGUGUCAAAAUUGCCUAUAUUUUUCAAAACUGGGCCCUUCAAGUCCUCCUGCGGAAAGGCCAGGUAUCCUAAUAUGCAAGGAAAGAAGACAUAGUGUUUUAUUGUCUACUGCUUACCUAAUAUCCAUUCUCCCCUUCUUCUACUAACAAAUCCUUGAUUUUUUACAAUGUGGCAAUGUACACAGUUAUAACACUAUAUUUCCAAGCUUCUCUUGCCGCUAAAUAGGGCCACGUGAUUAAGUUCUGGCCAACGAGUUGUAAGCAGAAGUUAUCAAGUAUUAUAGGAUUUAUGAAAAGGGGGAUAGACAGCUGCCAUGUGCUUUUUUCAUAUUCUUCCUCCAUCUGCUCCUUGCUUCUUGCCUGGAAUGCUGAUGUGAUUGCUGGGGCUCCAGCAACUCUCUUGGCUCAU